GAUGAACGCUGGCGGCGUGCCUAAUACAUGCAAGUCGAGCGAACAGACGAGGAGCUUGCUCCUCUGACGUUAGCGGCGGACGGGUGAGUAACACGUGGAUAACCUACCUAUAAGACUGGGAUAACUUCGGGAAACCAGAGCUAAUACCGGAUAAUAUAUUGAACCGCAUGGUUCAAUAGUGAAAGACGGUUUUGCUGUCACUUAUAGAUGGAUCCGCGCCGCAUUAGCUAGUUGGUAAGGUAACGGCUUACCAAGGCAACGAUGCGUAGCCGACCUGAGGGGGUGAUCGGCCACGCUGGAACUGAGACACGGUCCAGACUCCUACGGGAGGCAGCAGUAGGGAAUCUUCCGCAAUGGGCGAAAGCCUGACGGAGCAACGCCGCGUGAGUGAUGAAGGUCUUCGGAUCGUAAAACUCUGUUAUUAGGGAAGAACAAAUGUGUAAGUAACUAUGCACGUCUUGACGGUACCUAAUCAGAAAGCCACGGCUAACUACGUG
rnacentral:rRNA from 1 species